CGUAUGAAAUGUUCCGAAGCAUAUCAAUGACAUAUGAAACAUUUCGAAGCGUAACAAUAACAGAUGAAACAGAUAGAAGGUGAAGUGGGAUUCCAAACAUAAUAUGGUCCAUCCAUUUCUGAAUGACCACCAAACAUAAUCUAGAGCAUCGCAGGCUCUAAGCACAUACCCUUUACCAUUUCUGGCAAAGGUCCAAAUAAUCCCACAAACACCA
rnacentral:lncRNA from 1 species